rnacentral:rRNA from 1 species
UACGUAGGUGGCAAGCGUUAUCCGGAUUUAUUGGGUGUAAAGGGCGUGUAGGCGGGAGCGCAAGUCAGAUGUGAAAACUUAGGGCUCAACCCUGAGCCUGCAUUUGAAACUGUGUUUCUUGAGUGCUGGAGAGGCAAUCGGAAUUCCGUGUGUAGCGGUGAAAUGCGUAGAUAUACGGAGGAACACCAGUGGCGAAGGCGGAUUGCUGGACAGUAACUGACGCUGAGGCGCGAAAGCGUGGGGAGCAAACAGG